CCAUAUAUCUCGAUUCCUGUAACCACCUCCACGACAACCUACCACCACUCAUUUCCACUUCAGCCACCCUCACUCUCUCAUCCCUCCAUCUCCAAGAACCCAAAUCAUCCCUAAUCUCCUCCUUCACUUUCAAACCAAACUCCAAAACCAAAUGUCUUGUUCUACAAUCCCAUUCAGUCAAACGAAACUCCAAAACCAAAUGUCUUGUUCCACAAUCCCAUUCAGAAUGCAUCAGACCCACCAUUUUCAAGCCAAAAAAUUCCCCCUUUUUGGUCUCUGCAGUGGCCGCUGAAGCUGAGGUAGGUGAAGAUGUUAAUGAGGAUGUUUCCGGUGGCGGUGGUGGUGUUGUUACGGUGGCUCCGCCGGUAGCCACUAAACCUAAGAAGGGGAAGCUGCUUUGCGUCUUAAGAGGGACAGGUUCCUGCUAACCCAGUUAAGUAUAUGCGACUUUGAUUUUGGUUAAUUUCAUGAGUUUUGCUUCCUAGUUCAUGGAUUUUAUUAAAAACAGGUUGAUGGGAUCUUGCCAAUUUUUUGGUGUUUAAGACAUUGAAAUGAAGAAUCUGGACAUUUUACUUGAUUUUACUACCAACAUAUUUUUAGAGGGUCCCUUAUUCUACAGAUUUUUAGAUACAGUGCCUUGUUGUUGUGUUUAAAAAUGAGGAAAUUAUGUAUUCUAAAGCUAAUUCUGAGGUACCCAUUUAGUAAUUUUUG